UACGUAGGCAGCAAGCGUUGUUCGGAAUUACUGGGCGUAAAGAGUGUGUAGGCGGUGCUCUAAGUUCGGUGUGAAAUCUCCCGGCUCAACUGGGAGGGUGCGCCGGAAACUGGAGUGCUGGAGCGCGGGAGAGGAAAGCGGAAUUCCUGGUGUAGCGGUGAAAUGCGUAGAUAUCAGGAGGAACACCGGCGGUGUAGACGGCUUUCUGGACCGUAGCUGACGCUGAGACACGAAAGACGUGGGUAGCAAACAGG
rnacentral:rRNA from 1 species